rnacentral:lncRNA from 1 species
GUUCAUUCCCAACAAAUCUAUCAUCCUGCAGUUUGGCAUCCAUGUCUAGAAAGCCCCCAGCCCAAUCCUUGGCUCCGACUGCCCCCACGACACCAUGACCCUGCCCAGGGAAGGAGACGAGCGGGCUCAGCCACAUUCCCAUAACGUCCGCCAGCCCCCUGCUUCAGGCCCACCACUCACCUGGCUGAGGUCAGCGCUGAUCCCACUGGAGGACAGCUCCAUGUUGAAGGAUGUCAGGUCCUGUUUGCUCGUGCCUGGGGGACAAGGUAAAGAGCAUGGGUGGACCCCCAGGGAGCAGCAGGGACAGUGAUACUGGAGAAAAGACUGAGAAAGAAGCAUGGGACCGACCUUCGGACACAGAAGGAAGAGCCCACAUCACAGUCAGACUGGGCAGUGACUUAGGCACAAGUGCACGAGCCCCAGACUCGGCACGGCCAAGGUGGAGCCCUGGAGUUCUGUUCCCGCUCAGGCUUCCCCGCUGCAAGGGCUGGAGCCCCCACCCCUCCUGGCGAACCAGACUGAUUCUCCCCUUCCUGUUCUUCCUCCAACACAUCACCAAGUCAAGAUGGUUCUACCUUCAAUGCGUCUGCCCCCUUCUCUGAAGGGUCACUAUUGCCGCCACAAGGGUCCAAGCCACUCUGCUCCCUCGCCUGGCUACUGCAGCAGCUUACUUACUUGGUCUCUGACUUCUUUCUUCUUGUCAUGUCUAUUUUCCACAGAGCAAGCUGGAGUAAUCUUUCUUUUUUUAAAUUUUUUUAAUUUUUAACGUUUAUUUAUUUAGUUAUUUUGAGAGAGAGAGAGAGAGAGAGAGAGGGAGAGAACAAGCGGGGGAGGGCCAGGGAGAGAGGGAGAGAGAAUCCCAAGAGGGCUCUGCACUGACAGCAAGGAGCCCGAUGUGGGGCUUGAACUCACGAACUGUGAGAUCAUGACCCGAGUGGAAACCAAGAGUUAGACGCUUAACCCACCGAGCCACCCAGGUGCCCCUGAGUAAUCUUUUUAAAAAAUGUAUAUCAGACCACAUAUUUCUCUUUCUUAAAAAGCUCUUCAUUACUUGCCAUUGCUCUUUGUUGUUUAUUUAAAAAACAUAUUUUUAAAUGUUUAUUUAUUUUUGAGAGGGGGGAGGGGCAGAGAGACAGAAGGAGAAAGAAUUUCAAGCAGGCUCUGCACUCUCAGCACGGAGCCCAACUCAGGGCUCAAACCCACAAACCAUGAGAUCAUGACCUGAGCUGAAAUCAAGAGUUGGAUGCUUAACGGACUGAGCCACCCAGGCACCCCUGCCAUCACUCUUUAGAUUAAAACCCAAGCUACUGAUGAGGAAAUGGAAGGCCCUUGCCUCUCUCUCCAACCUUCUCUCAUUUACUCACCACACUGCUAUCACCGUGACCUUUUUCUGUUCCUCCAGCUUGCCUGCCCAUCCCCCACCUCUGGGCCCCUGAGCUGAUGAUAAGGCUCUUUGCCCACAUUCCUCACAUGGCUGUUUGAUUCUCAUCUUUCGUGUCUCGGCUCAAAUGUCAUCUCAGAGUGAAUUUCACCUCCAUUAAAGAAAACAAAAAGGCAUCUAGAAAGGCCUUCCUUGAAAAGCCUAUCUAUAGUGGCUUCCCCCACUCCCCCAUAAACCUUUCUAUCCAACUUAUUCAUUUUCUUUAUAGCACUUAUCAUAAUCUCUAAUUAUCCUGUUUGGUUUUUUUUUUUCUUUAUCCAACCCGAAUACGAGCUCCAUGUUGACACUACCCCUGAGUGCCUUGUUCACGGCCCUGGUACCUGGUUGGUGCAAGCAUGAAUUAAUACAAUGAAAAUCAUCCCAUCAGCCUUGCAAGGCUCCUGAGAGCAAUGAAUUAAAUGAUACAGAUAAACUGUCUAUUACCUGUAAGCUUUCAAGAAACGCACUGAUUACUGUGAAGAUUUGUUCAUUCACUCUUAAUAAAUGUUUAGAACAACUAAAUAUUUGGUGCCACGGACACAACGGUCAAAAGGCAGACACAAUGCUUGCCAUGACAGACCUCACAGUGUGGCGUGGGAGGCAGACACGGAGCGGAUGAUUCAAUACAACGGAAGUCUCGGGGGCCAGAAUAGGGAACACACAGCCGUUACCACGACACCCAACCUAGACUCGAGUUCAGUGAGAGCUUGUCAGAGGCAGGGACAUCUGAAAUACGAUCUGGAGACUUUCUGGCAGUGCUGACCUGCCCAAGAGAACAUGCCUCUCGCGAAGGACCUCCUGCCCCCGUCCCCGGAAGAGGAGGAGAGGAAGCCCAAGAAGAAGCGCCUGGUGCAGAGCCCCAACUCCUACUUCACGGGCGUGAAGUGCCCAGGAUGCUACAAAAUCACGACCAUGUUCAGCCACGUGCAGACCGUGGUGCUGUCUGGGGGCUGCUCCACCGUCCUGUGCCAGCCGACAGAAGGACAAGCAAGGCUCACGGAAGGAUGCUCCUUCAGAUGGAAGCAGCACUAAAAGCCCCGAGUCAACGUGAGUGGGGAACCAUCCCAACAGACAGAUUUAGGAUUAAAAAAAAUAAUAAAAUAAGAUAGAAUAGAAUAGAAUAGAAUAGAAUAGAAUAAAAUAAAAUAAAAUAAAAUAAAAUAAAAUAUGAUCUGGAGCAUGAGGAAAGGCAGGCCAGGAUAGGGGAUCAGAGCUCGAUUUGUACACAGCCUACGAGGUACCAAGCACUUUGCUAAGCAGUGGUUAGGGCCUGAACUGUGUUCUGUAAAAAAAGAUAUUUUCACGUUCUAACCCCUAGUACUUCAGAAUGUGGCCUUGUCUGGAAAUAGGGUCUUUGCAGUGUAAUUAAACUAAAAUGAAGUCAUCGGGGUAGGCCUUGAUCCAAUAUGACUGGUGUCCUUAUAAAAAAGGGAAAUUUGGACACAGAGAGACAGACACACACAGAGAGAAGAUGGCCAGGUGGCAGGAGGGAUGCAGCUACAAGCCAAGGGAUGCUAGGGACUGUGGGCGAACACUGGAAGUUAGGAGAGGCAAGGAAGCACUCUCUCCUAGAACCAUCAGAAAGAGCACGCCCCUGCCGAACACUUCAUUUCUGACUUCUGGCCUCCAGAACUCCAAGAUGGUAAAUUUCUGUUGCGUUAAGCCACUCAGUUUUUGGUACUCUGUUACAGCAGCCCUAGGAAACUAAAACAACAGUUAAACCUUCCAGUGCUGUGACAUUGGUAUUAUCCCCAUUCAGCAGAGAAAGAGCCUCAGGGAGAGAAACUGACCUGGCUGAGGUCACACAGCACAGGCAGAACGGAUUCUUUUUUUUUUUUUUUUAAGUUUAUUUAUUUAUUUUGAGAGAGAGAGAGAAAGAGUAGGGAGGGGCAGAGAGAGGAGAGAGAGAGAGAGGAAGAGAGAGAAUCCGAAGCAGGCUCCACACUGUUAGCCUGGAGCCUGAUGAGGGGCUCAAACUCAUGAUCGUGACCUGAGUCAAAAUCCAGAGUCAGACACUUAACUAACUGAGCCACCCAGGCCCCCCGACAGAGUGGAUUCUUGAGUGGUCUACCCAAUCCCGUUAUAUAUACAUAGCUUCGGGGAGCCUGGGUGGCUCAGUCGGUUGAGCGUCCGACUUCGGCUCAGGUCAUGAUCUCACGGUUCGUGGGUUCAAGCCUCGCGUCAGGCUCUGGGCUGACGCCUUACUCAGAGCCUAGAGGCUGCUUCAGAUUCUGUGUCGCCUUCUCUCUCUGCCCCUCCCCUGCUCGUGCUCUGUCUCACUCUGUCUCUCAAAAAUAAAUAAAUAUUUUAAAAAUCAUAUAUACAUUGCUUCUUCAACUGAACUGAACACCAAGCCUGUGUCCUAGCAAAGGGGCCUUCCCAGAAGGAAUCAUGUACCUUUCAGCAGACUAGGAUUCCUGGGGAAUUACCCUUCCAAGGCAAGUGUUCUAUCCAGAGGCUACAGUCAUAACCUUUUAUUCUGGGCCAAGAGGGCCCAUGGGCUCCCUGCGCUCAGCCACUGUCCACUUGCCCGUCUUAAGUAAUUUGAAGAUAAGUAAAAAUGAGGGAGCUGGCAGAGGAGGGGGCGGAAUUAUAGUCUUUCCAGAGCCCUCGGUUGACACCAGCAAAAUAGGGGUCAAUUCUGGCUCCACCCCAGACCAAGCUGAGCUUUCCAAAGAAGAUGGAAUUUCAAAGGGAAACAGAGGCUGGUCCUUAAAGCAUCCUCUCCUAAAUUUCCUCCUGAGGUCUUGUUCCAGGAGAGCUCUUGACACAGCGUUAGAUACUCCAUAAGCGCGCGUUAUUAUUACUGUGUCUCUAGUCUGAUGUCCCAGAAGUGUUUCUGUAAACAACUUCCCAGACUCUCUCUCCCCGGGUCAGCCACUCACCCUCAAUGGCAUAGAUCUUCUUUUGCAGCUCAGUGAACAGAUCUUUAAGCUUCUCGAACGUGGCCAGAAUCUUUACAAACUCCUUUGCAGGUUUUGAGGCAAACUUGUGGAGCGUUUCCUGACUUUCCUUGGUUUCAAAAUGCUUUCCGAUCUGUGAGGGAGUAAAGAGUGGAGAGCUGGCAUUCCCAGAAUCACAGACCAAUUUUCUAAUAUUUUCACAAAGCUUUGGCCCCAAGGAGAAAGGGGAGUGGGGGUUCAGGAAAAGGAGAGGAAAGAGGGGACAAGCCAGGGGCCAGGGCCCGUACCCCAAUGAUGUAGCGGAUGAUGUCUUUGGCUGAGUCAAUGUUCUGAUCUGAGUCAGUGGCUUCCCCGUCAGUGAUGAUGAUAAGCACUUUGGUGGCAUCUGGCCGGGCCCCCCGGUCUUGCCGGAACACCUUUUCCCUGUGUCCAGGAAGGCGGGCGAUGUGAAAGACUCCUCCGGAUCAUGGUCUCCCUGACUCAUCCAGCUCAUUAAGUCACUGUCCUGCUGAUUAUGCAAAAGCCCUUCUCCCAUCCCCCAGGCAGGUAUUCCCAGCCUUCAAAGUUCUCUUCUGAACCGCCUACCUAACCCUACCUCGCCCUUGCUGCCACACCUCUCCUCCUGACCCUGCUCUUCCACAGAAUUCUGGGCGGCCAAGGGGCUGUCCCCAGAGCCCAUGGGCAGCAACAGGGAGGCUUUCUGAGGAGCUAUCUGGGCUUCCUACACUCCAGUUCAACCACAUGCAACUACUCUUUCACCAGUUAGACAUGCUGGGGAUCCAGGUGAGAUUUCAGUGCGGAAAACGGGCUCCACGGCUGGAGAAAACUGGGAAGUCACUUUUCCAGAGCAAGCUAAUCUAGCACCCCCUAUCCACCCUGCCUCCCCCACCAUCGCCAGGCCACCUGUAGACCUCUGCUACAGCAAGUCUCCCAGGGGACUGAAGUGACUUGUUUCCAUGUCAGUUUUCCCCAAACCGCGAGUUCCUCAAGGAAGGACCACGUUUGAUUUGCUUCUGUAUCCCUGGCUCCUGACAGAGUAGGCACUCAGUGCAUGUGACAUAAAAGGAGGACGGGAGUACUGAAUGUCGGACAGGUCAAGGCUCCAAAGUCCCACCUGUCCACAGCCUCCUUCUGAAGCAAGAUAGGGUGCCCACGGCUUCUGUUGGGACAGCAGCUCUAUGUGUACCAUCUGAUCCUUCCCUCCCCACCCCACAGCCAACAGAGAUGGACAAUUAACCCAAGAGUAGCAGGUCUACAACCCCUGACUUAUGACAUGACCUGCUUUGGGAGCAGAAGCUCAAAGUCACACAGAGGGGCUGCGGCGGCAGGUGGAGGAGAGACGCAGAGAAGAGGGCAGGAAAGCCCCCUGGAAGCUUUAGAAUGGAGGAGCUCUGACAGGCAGGGCUGAGACCCCUGUUCUAUCUUGGAUGCAAACUGUUUCCCCAAACUCUGUCCACACGGACAUGGCCUCUCAUAGCUGUUCAUGGAUUUCCACCCAGGUUCCAAAUUUUUUAAAAUGUUUAUUUUUGAGAGAGAGAGAGCAAGCAAGCACACGUGUAAGUGAGCCAGGGAGGGGAAGACAGAGAGGGAGACACAGAAUCCAAAGCAGGCUCCAGGCUCUAAGCUGUCAGCACAGAGCCCGAUGUGGGGCUCAAACUCACAAACCAUGAGAUCAUGACCUAAGCCGAGGUCAGACACUUAACCGACUGGGCCACUCAGGUGCCCUGAUUUCCACCCUGGUUUAAACCACCAUCACCUGUCAUCUGGAUUUUUCGGUAGCCUCCUACCUGGCCUCCCUACUCCCAUCCUUGCCCCCUCCACAGGCUAAUAGCAGCCAGAAGGAUCCUUUUAAAAACAUAAAUCAGAUGAUCACCCCUCUGCUCAAAACCUCCAAUGGACUUGUCUUCUCACUUUGAGGGAAAGCCAAAGUCCUCACUAUGGCCUCCAAGUCCCUAAGUACUUGGAUUCCCAGGUUCUCUCUGACCUCACCUCCUACUACUUCCACCCCUAUUUACUUCUCUCCAGCCACACUGGUGUCCUGGUUGUUCUUGGAGCCUCCCAAGCACAUUCUCAUUUCAUGGCCUUUGCUAUUCCCUCUGCCUGGGACAGUUUCCUCACCUUCAACGAGUCUUUGCUCACAGGUAACCUUCCCGCAUCUUCCUACUGAAUAUUGCUUGCUUUUUCUUUUUUCUUUUUUAAUCUUUAUUUAUUUUUGACAGAAAGAGAGAGAGAGAGAGAGACAGAGUGAGAGCAGGGGAGGGAACAGACAGAGAGGGAGACGCAGAAUCCAAAGCAGGCUCCAGGCUCCGAGCUGUUAGCACAGAGCCUGACGUGGGGCUCGAACCCACGAACCGCGAGAUCAUGACCUGAGCCAAAGUCAGACGCUUAACCGACUGAGCCAUCCAGGCGCCCCUGCUUUAUUUUUCUUUAUAAAACUUACAUCUUCUACUAUAUUAUCAAAUUGACUUCUUUAUCCUAUCUGUUGCAUUUCUCUCCCCUAAUACAAUGUUGAACCUCGAGAGGGUAGAGAUUUUUGUUUCAAUUACUGCUCUAUUCCCAGAACCUAGAACUCGGCAUACAUGGCCAAAAUCAGCCCACAGCUUGUUUCUGUAUGGUCCAUGUGUAAAAAAUGGCUUUUAUCUAUUUUUUAAAAGAAUUACAAAACAAACAAAGAAGAAUAUGCAAGAGAUACUAGAUGUGGCCAGAAAGCCUAAAAUAUACUACCCAACUCUUUUCAGAAAAAAUUAGCCAAGUCCUGGCCUUGAAUACUGCCUGGCACACAGUCAGGUAGUCAAGAAAUAUUUAUAAAAUAUAUUUCUAUGGCUGCUCCUUUUUGCUUCUACAGUUGACACCUUUUGGGGUAACUUUCCAUCCUAUCAUGACCUCUUUCUCUAAGAAACUGCCCCCUUCCCACAGAGGUGGGACCCCAGAAUCCACAUCUGUGCUAUGUGACUUUAUGCCACAGAGCAGAACUGGAUGGACCCGUGGACACCUAACCCAGGCUCGGCCAAUCAGAUUUUCUCUCCUGGAAGCUGGAAUUCGGGUUGCUCAUCCGAACUGAGGAACUGAGGCUGCUAUUUUUUCCAUGGACAUGGCUUGCCACGGACCCACCAAAGCUGUCCAUAGACAGGGAAGAAUAAGCAGACAGGACAGGUCAAGUGAGCCCCAGAAGAAAAGAGGUGGAAACACAUCUGUAGAGUCUUAAGGACCUGCAUCACUUGCAUGUGUAACUAAUGCAAAUUCAACUAUACCUGCCCAGCAAAGGAAUGAAAAUGUGAAAAACAAGCAUCAUAGCACAGGAGGCCCAUGCGGCUCUUUCAAUGGAUUUGAGUGUGUGCCCAGGGGAGCAUGAGAUGGAAGAUAUAAUUCUCUUAUUCCCCAAAUUGCUUCCAUGUUUCCACGUUUCCAGUUUUCAUAGCCACUUUAAUGUUGAAAGAUGGGCAUUUCUGGCUCAGUCGGUUAAGCGUCAGACUCUUGGUUUUGGCUCAGGUUGUGAGCUCAUGGUUUCGUGGGUUUGAGCCCCGUGUCGGGCUCUGUGCUGGCAGUGUGGAGCAUGUUUGGGAUUCUAUCUCUUCCUCUCUCUGCCCCUCCCCCAUUCUUGCCGUCUCUUUCUCUCAAAACAAAUAACUAUAGGUCUUAAAAUUUUUUUUUAAUGUUUCUUCAUUUUUGAGAGAGAGACAGAACGUGAGAGUGGGUAGGGGGAGAGAGAGGGGGACACAAAAUCCGAAGCAGGUUCCAGGCUCCGAGCUGUCAGCACAGAGCCGGAUGCGGGGCAUGAACUCACAAUCCGCAAGAUCAUGACCUGAGCCAAAGUGGGACGUUUAACUGACUGAGCCACCCAGGUGCCCCAGGAAAGGGGUUUUUUUUUUUUUUUUUUUUUUUUUUUUUUUGGCAGUGUAGAACUACUGCUGAGUGAGUACAUCCCUCAUNGGAAAGGUUUUUUUUUUUUUUUAAUGUUUAUUAUUUCUGAGAGAGAGAGAGAGACAGAGCAUGAGCAGGGGAGGGGCAGAAAGAAAGGAAGACACAGAAUGCGAAGCAGGCUCCAGGCUCUGAGUGUCAGCACAGAAGCCCGAUACGGGACUCAAACCCACGAACCAUGAGCUCAUGACCUGAGCCGAAGUCAGACGCUUAACUGGCUGAGCCACCCAGGCACCCCCAAGGUAAGUAUUUUUUUAAAUAUACAAUAUGGGGGAGCGUGGCUGGCUCAGUUAGUAGAGCAUGCAACUCUCAACUGAAUUCUCAGGGUUGCUAGUUCAAGCCCCACGAUGGGUAUGGAGCCUACUUUAAAAAAAAAUAAAUGAAAUGAAUGAACGAAUGAAUGAAUGAAUGAAUAAAUAAAUACAUAAAAUAAACAAACAAACGGACUCCUGGGAGUUGUAGUUUGGUCCGCUUGUGCUGGCACUGCUAUUGGCUCGUGCUAGCCUCUGUCUGUCUGUGGGCAAGCGCCACUGUGGUGUUCAAGAACAGCCCGUGGAAGAAUCAUUUGAAGAGGUGGUGAUGAAGGUCAUACAACAGGCGUGGACGUGUUUGGAUUUCCAACAGCGACCCUGCUGGAUUGCCGUGGCAGAUAUGCCCCAAAUGUAGCAUUUUUCAGUGCACGUGAGGACAGAAGCCCAACACAAACAUGUUCACUCCGAGGCCGCAGGAUUCUGAAAGGGAUUUCCAGAACCCUUUCAGAAGACAGAAGCUAGAACAAAAAUCCCCAGAGUCAAAGACACUACAGGAAGAUUCACCUGGAGUGAGGCAGAGGGUCUGUGAGUGUCAGCGCUGUGGAAAAUCCUUCAGGCAAAAAGGCAGUCUAACCUUGCGUGAGAGAAUCCACACUGGUCAAAAGCCCUUUGAGUGGACCCACUGUGGAUAAAGCUUCAGGGGCAAAGGCAAUCUUGUCACAUUUCAGCAAAAACACACAGGAGAGAAGCCCUAUCAGUGCAAGGAGUGUGGGACAAACGUUAGUCAACGAGGUAGUCUGGCCGUUUAUGAAAAACUCCACACUGGACCGAAACCCUAUGAGUGUGCUAUUUGUCAGAGAAACUUCAGGAAUCAAAGUAACCUUGCUGUUCAGAGAAGAGUUCACAGCAGUGAAAACCCCUAUAGAUGUGAUCAGUGUAGAAAAGCCUUCAGUCAGAAAGGAAGCUGAAUUGUUCACAUCAGAGUCCACACGGGCCUGAAACCCUAUGCUGCAUACAAUGCAGGAAGAGUUUCUACACCAGGAGGAAUCGUAUCUUGCAAGGCAAAACACACACAGGAGAGAUACCCUAUCUGUGUGGCCAGUGUGGGAAAAGCUGCACUCAGAGAGGGAGUCUGGCUGUGCACCAGCAAAGCCAUCCACAAAGACUCACCCUUUGAUCACUCUCGUCACAGGAAGUUCUCUUCAUGAAUUAAAAGUACAAAAACCUUCAGAUCAAGCAACUUAUCCAAUUCUAUGGGAUGAACGGUGACUCCUUCAGAAAGACCAUCAUGGGGUAGGGCAAACUGAUUUUUCUCCUUUCCCCCAAAUGAGUAUGAAAAGUAAAUGUCUUGUUUAUUGCCCUUAACAAUAACAACAAAAUAAAUAAAAUACAUAAUAUGGCCCUUCAACACACUCCAGCUACAUUCAUCUAGGCCUCACUUUAAACACAGCCAUCUGGCAUCUCUUUCUGUCCAUGCGUCCUGUCCCUGUGCUUUAAUAAAACCACCUUUUUUGCACCGAAAACAACAACAACAACAAUAACAAUAAAGCCAUCUGGUCCAACUCUGGGGGAAAAAAACUUCUAUAGUAGAUUUAGGAAAUCAGGAUAUGCUAGUUUCCAACGUGGACUUGAAUAUGUCGAAUUUUAGAACAGUUCAAGGAAUUCUUCAAGGACAAUUUUGACUAUCAGAGAUUUUUGUUCACACACUGACUCCAGAAGCCGAUCACCAUCUAUGAUGGGACUCUACCAUGGCUUCCAUGUUCACAAUCACUUUCCAAGUCUUAAUUCUAGUCCCUCACGAGGUCUGGCCAUACUCCCUGCCCCAAAGGUUUAUGAGCUAUCCCUGCAUCCUCCCAAGAACUGCCCUGGGGGAUUUAGUUAGUAUAAAGUAGGUUUCUGUUACUUACAGUUAGAAGAAACUGUUCUAAAAUAGCUCCACUUGAAUUCUUCCAAUAACCCGCCCCUUGCUGAGCCCACCUGUUGAGUUCCUACACCCUGAAACCCGAAGAAGCCAACGAAGAGUGGGCUCUCUCCUGCACAAGGGGACUCACGUGACAUAGUUGAUGGCAUGAAAGGUAUUGGUCAACAGCCGCAUAUGUUUUACUUUGCCCAGCAGAGCAUCAGGGUUCUUCACCCUAACAUAAUCCAAGAAAUCAAAUUCUGUUUUGCAUUCCGUGGAAAACUGAACCGCAGCAAACUAGAAAAAGAAGAAAUGAAACGGCAUUACAUAUCCCUUCCCACUUGUCUGUUCCAAUCUAUUUCUUUUAAUUAAUUAAUUAAUUCAUUAAUUUUAAUUUACAUCCAAGUUAGUUAGCAUAUAGUGCAACAAUGAUUUCAGGAGUAGAUUCCUUAGUGCCGCUUACCCAUUUAGCCCAUCCCCCCCUCCCACAAUCCCUCCAGCAACCCUCAGUUUGUUCUCCAUAUUUAAGAGUCUCUUAAGUUUUGUCCCCCUCCCUGUUUUUAUAUUAUUUUUGCUUCCCUUCCCUUAUGCUCAUCUGUUUUGUAUCUUAAAUUCCUCAUGUGAGUGAAGUCAUAUGAUAUUGGUCUUUCUCUAAUUUUGCUUAGCAUAAUACCCUCUAGUUCCAUCCACGUCGUUGAAAAUGGCAAGAUUUCAUUCUUUUUGAUUGCCAAGGAAUACUCCAAUCUAUUUCUUAUCCGAGACCUGGGGAACCCAACUCCACAUCCCUGCCUCAAAGCAUUCUUUUGAAAAUGAGGUAAUAUAUACACACAGAAAUAAAAUUAAAUAAGCCUCUGAUCCCUUACGUUGUGCUGUCUGCUGAACUCCUAUCCUCUGGGUCAGCCUGCCUCACCAGUGGGGAUGGCUUCUAGUAACCAUAUUUGUGCUGAAUGACCCUGCUAAACUGACUACAGCUGGUUGGGCCACAGAGAGAGAGAGCCACUUGACUGAGGCUAGGCCAGUCAGAAUCUAUUCUCCGGGAAUUUGGAAUUUGCAGAGGGAGGGGUUGGUUGAGAGGCAAAAAAAAAAACCCAAAACAACCCAUCCUCCUGAAACCUUCACAUGUGAACUUGGGAGCUUUCCACAGUCUCAUGUGAUCCAAAGAAGCUGAGGGAGCUAGUCUGCAAGAGAGAAGAGGGAAGCAAAAGCCAAAAAGAAACAGAAAUGAGAACUAAGGAAAAUCUUACAAGCUUUUUACUUCCUGGUUCUUGACUCUUCCAGAGGUCCAGUUACACCGUGGCUUUAGAUUCUGGAGACACCUCAUGCUAACUUUUUUUUAUGCCUUAAGCUAGCUCAAGUAGGCAUGUAUUGCCUACAAACAGAAAAGCUAAUUAAUAUAUUUACCUGGUAGGAAGAGUUGCUGAGUUUCCUCAUCACAUCCUUCAUGAAGUCCAGAAUUUUCUGAAAUUCAUCUUGCUGCAGGCUCAUUGAACCAUCAAACAGAAAUACCAAGUCUACGUUGCCCUUUAUACAUUCUACAGAGGCCAGACACAAAGGGACUUAAUGAAGUGUCUCCAUGGGUUGGCCUGCCCGUGCUGGUUCCCUCGUAUGAGCAACCACUUGGGAGAGAUUUUUACCCAUUAGAUCCCCAGCUCCUUACCCUGAUAACCAGGAUGACUUUGCAGCACAGGACCCUUCAGAUUCUGGUCGAAAAGGUAACACAGGCCACUCAGAUAAACAUUCUGGUCACAUGUCCGAGACAGUCCAGGGUCACAGGCCUAAAGGAAGCAAAGGUUAAAAGAAGAAGGGUUAGGGCUUCCUUUUCCUGUGUGUCUUUUGGGCAUCAUCAGUCAAGAACAAGAACCUUCAGAGUCAUCAUCCCCUAUCCUCACUCCCCACAUCCAACUGGUUAUGCCUAGAGGACAGAGUCUAAACUCUCGAGUCUGGCAUUCAUGUUGUUUACAGUUGAGCACUACCCCACAUUUCCAGGCCCUUCUUCUUCCAUUCCCAAUCACACAUUCUGUGUUUAAGCCAAAUCACUCACUAUUCCCGGAAUAUACAGUGUUGUUUCUUUCAUUUAUGACUAUCUCUCCUGCCAAGCUGCAAUUUUUCUUGAAAGUCAGAGCUCAUGUCAUCUUUGUAUCUCACUCCUCUGACCCCAUCAGAACCCAGCACAUCGGCUGGCAUGUUAAUAACAGCUAAGUAAACAAGCUCAAAUUAA